UUUUUAGCGAUAUUCUUUUUCAGAACAAAGUGAUCUAGCUUUUCUAAUAGAUAACCAAGAAUAAGUAAGCGAUCGUUGAUCGAGGAGAAAUGGCCGCUACGAUGGCUCAAAACCCUGUCAACAACCAAAACCAGAAUGCUGCUGAUCUGAAAGGAUGGAAGAGCCAGCUGAACCUGCCUGCCCGAGAUGGAAGGGUCAAGACGAGUGAUGUGACCGCAACCAAGGGAAAUGAGUUUGAAGAUUUCUGCCUGAAACGUCCUCUGCUGAUGGGUAUAUUUGAGAAAGGUUGGGAGAAACCGUCUCCAAUUCAAGAGGCCAGCAUCCCUAUUGCACUAACUGGAAGGGAUAUUUUGGCCCGAGCUAAGAAUGGAACUGGAAAAACUGGAGCCUAUUGUAUUCCUAUACUAGAGCAGAUAGAUGUAACCAAAGAUGUUAUCCAGGGUAUGAUAAUUGUUCCUACCCGUGAGCUUGCCCUGCAGACCUCACAGAUUGCAAUUGAACUUUCUCAGCAUAUGGGUCUCAAGGUUAUGGUCACUACAGGAGGAACCAACUUAAAGGACGAUAUUAUGAGAUUGUAUGAGAAGGUUCACCUCGUUGUAGCUACACCUGGCAGAAUUCUCGAUCUUAUGGAGAAGCAGGUUGCAAACAUGGAUAACUGUCGUAUUCUGGUACUUGAUGAGGCAGACAAACUUCUCUCAAACGAUUUCAAGGGAAUGUUGGACCGUUGCAUUUCUCAUCUUCCAAAAGAACGCCAGAUUCUGCUCUUCAGUGCAACCUUCCCUCUAACUGUUGAAUCAUUUAUGCAGAAACAUCUCACCAAUCCGUACGAAAUCAAUUUGAUGGAUGAGCUCACACUCAAGGGUAUUACUCAGUUCUACGCAUUUGUCCAGGAAAGGCAGAAGGUGCAUUGUUUGAAUACUCUGUUCAGUAAACUUAGGAUCAAUCAGAGCAUUAUAUUCUGUAACUCGACUCAGCGGGUGGAGUUGUUAGCCAAGAAGAUUACUGAACUGGGUUACUCCUGCUACUACAUCCACUCCAGGAUGGCUCAGGCUCACCGGAACCGCGUAUUUCAUGAUUUUCGUGACGGAAACUGCAGAAAUUUGGUUUGCUCAGAUCUAUUCACCAGAGGUAUUGAUAUCCAGGCCGUGAAUGUCGUCAUCAACUUUGACUUCCCAAAGAUGGCUGAAACCUACCUUCAUAGGAUUGGUAGAUCUGGCAGGUUUGGACACCUGGGUAUUGCGAUCAAUCUGAUCACCUACGACGACAGGUUCUCCUUGCACAGGAUAGAGCAGGAGCUUGGUACAGAGAUUAAGCCUAUUCCCAAGGUGAUUGACAAAUCUCUGUAUGUAGCUGAGUUCCACCAGGAGGGUGGGAACCCUGAGGACGAGAACUAGAUUCUCCCCAAACACCAGAGAGGAGGGUUCUACAUAUACUACUCUUCUUUGCUACCCCUCUCCUCCCUAUACUUCAUAAAAUAACUUAAUAAUCUUCUCUUCACAAGGGUUUAAGAUCUUUCCAAAUUUUCAGUUUAAAACCAAUGUCUAUUUUUUAUCUUAAGAUUGCUUGGUACUAUCCCAGUUAAGCAAGGUGAUCUUUGUUCGAUUAGACACCUGAAGUACCACAGAGUCUUUCAAAUCUUAUUGGAUAAUAUUACUUUUGACUGAAAGCAUUUUGUACCGUUUCCAAUACUGUAAAUCUUCCCCCCACGAUGAUAAGCUGCGUUGAGCUGCUUGACGCUGCUCCUUCAUUAGCGGUAAUGAUGCCACUUCUUAAUGAAUUGAAGGAGCAUUUUCACCUGGGGUUUUAUAUUUGGUGCGAUCAAAGAUCUGUCCGGCACUAUAGUCUGUAUGUGUGUUAUGCAUGUCGAGGGUCGAGAGGUAAAUCCUUUAGUUUUGGCAGAUUAUCCAUAAAGUUUCCAAUAUGCCAAAUCCUUCGAUUUUCCCUUGACCCUGCCCGGGGUUGGAUGGGCAAGGCCCCUGUUGAGGGUCUAUGGCUGCCGCAUCUUUCUCUGAAUAAAUUAUAUUUUGUUAAAGUUUAAUGAACCAUGUGAUGAAUGAUAUCAAUAUGUAUGAAUGAACAUAUUAAAAUCAAAUAAAAAAUAGUAAAAUUAAAAAAUUUGUAAGAUUUUGUGCAAGAAUUUGCUCGAUAACACCUUCUGUACUUGCUUUAACAUCAAUAAAUACGAAAUCUUAA
rnacentral:misc_RNA from 1 species